GGUUAUAGCUCAGUGGAAGAGUGCUUGCCUAGCAUGUGUGAGGCACUGGGUUCAAUCCUCAGCACCA
rnacentral:tRNA from 1 species